CCGAGUUAUACAACUCAUCAACCCUGUGAACAUACCUAAAACGUUGCUUCGGCGGGAACAGACGGCCCUGUAACAACGGGCCGCCCCUCCGCGCAGAGGACCCCUAACUCUGUUUUAUAAUGUUUUUCUGACGUAAACAAGCAAUAAAUUA
rnacentral:misc_RNA from 1 species